UACGUAGGGGCAAGCGUUGUCCGGAUUUAUUGGGCGUAAAGAGCGUGUAGGCGGCCUGAAAGGUCAGCUGUGAAAACUCGAGGCUCAACCUCGAGACGUCGGUUGAAACCAUCUGGCUAGAGUCCGGAAGAGGAGUGUGGAAUUCCCGGCGUAGCGGUGAAAUGCGCAGAUAUCGGGAAGAACACCCGUGGCGAAGGCGGCACUCUGGGACGGUACUGACGCUGAGACGCGAAAGCGUGGGGAGCGAACAGG
rnacentral:rRNA from 1 species